rnacentral:rRNA from 1 species
UACGUAGGGGGCAAGCGUUGUCCGGAUUUAUUGGGCGUAAAGAGCGUGUAGGCGGCCAGGUAGGUCUGCUGUGAAAACUCGAGGCUUAACCUCGAGAUGUCGGCGGAAACCAUCUGGCUAGAGUCCGGAAGAGGAGAAUGGAAUUCCCGGUGUAGCGGUGAAAUGCGCAGAUAUCGGGAAGAACACCCGUGGCGAAGGCGACUACCUGGCCUGUUCUUGACGCUGAGGCGCGAAAGCUAGGGGAGCAAACGGG